rnacentral:rRNA from 1 species
UACGUAGGGUGCAAGCGUUAAUCGGAAUUACUGGGCGUAAAGCGUGCGCAGGCGGCUUUGCAAGUCAGAUGUGAAAUCCCCGGGCUUAACCUGGGAACUGCAUUUGUGACUGCAUGGCUGGAGUGCGGAAGAGGGGGAUGGAAUUCCGCGUGUAGCAGUGAAAUGCGUAGAUAUGCGGAGGAACACCGAUGGCGAAGGCAAUCCCCUGGGCCUGCACUGACGCUCAUGCACGAAAGCGUGGGGAGCAAACAGG